rnacentral:lncRNA from 1 species
UAUAAUAUAACUACACUACAUAAUCUUGAAAACUAGUACUAACACAAAAAUAGCCCAAGAAAACACAAUAAACAACUUCAUAUUUUGUAGUUGAGCUUCAUCCUAGCAACCUUCUGUAAUUUUGUUGAAUUAACUCGACCUCUUCCAUUAUUUUCUCCAUUUUCAGUCUUUCAGCGGAAACAACAUCUUCCAAGUUAGCAACCAUCUUCUUCAGAUAAUUUCUUUCAACUUUUACGACUUCAAUGAAGUACUCAAGUUAUGAAUUAGCAUCGUUACAUGUGGUGGCAUCUCUUCUUCUCGCCAUUCCCACAAACCACAUGAAGAGGCCUCGUCAAAAUAUGGGCAUUUGUAGAAUCAAUUACCACCAUUCAAUUGAGUCUUAGCCACAAAAUGAUUUGCAGUUAAACCACAACCACAACGAUGCGACGAACCAGAAGAGACAGAAUUUUCAGAUAUUUCGAAGGAAAAAGACAAGAUUUAAUUAGUUGUAAAAGAGAAAUUUUGGGGAAGAAGAAAGGGGAAUAGGGGAA